AUGAUGGAAAGUUUCGGUGAGAAGAGAACCGACCUCCCGGAUCAGACCCCCGACCCGUCGACCCGCUCCCCCCGCAGGCAGCAGCGGGUGGCAGUGAUGCGGUUCCUGGAGGAGAAGGUGCUGAGGGGGCGGGAGGUGGAGGACCAGAGCUCAGCCGUCCUCUCCUCCUUCCUCCGCAGCCUGGAGGACGGGGAGUGGCAGAGCGUCCAGGACCGGAUGGUGGAGCCGGUGUCUCAGACUCACCUGGCUCAGGUGUCCCGGAGGAUCAUCAGGGUCGUGUCUCAGCUGGUCCUCCGGCUGCUGGCUCGCACUCUGAACCAGGAGGAGCCCCAAAGAGCUGGCAGCAGACCCUCGGCUCUGCUUGGAGAUCACCUCCACAACUAUUUGGAGAUCACAGAAGAAACUCUGGCCGAAUCCCAGCCGUCAGCCAGGAGCAUGCUGGCAGUCGUGGUGGAGCAGCUGAACCUGGGUCUGUGUGUGCUCGCUGCCCAGAGCCUGGACCACACGGUGCCUGAAGGGUCAGAGGUCAUGUCUGCAGCCAUGGAGGUUUUGGGGUUGGCAGGCGAGGCUCUGACUUACGUAACUGAGGAGGAAGUUGAGGUGCAGGACGAAGACACCUUCCUGGAAACAGCAACCGAGGAGCUGAUGUCCGCCAUUGCCGACAGCGUGAGCAGCCGUCAGGAGACAGACAGGAAGUCCAGAAGGAUCCUGCGAGACCUCGCUGCCAAAAUAUUGUCCCAGCACUCAGAGACUGCAGAGCUGCAGACGGUGGACGUGACGGAGGUGGAGACUGUCAGCGAGUCUGAUGCUCUUGAGAAGACUAACCCAUUACUCGUGUCCUCUGAGAAGGUCAGCAGGGACCUGUCCGAGUCUUGGGGCUCUUGUCUUCAGGUACUAAAGAGUCUUCUUGCCAAGUUCUUGGUCUUGUUUUCUCCGCGGAGCUUCAGUCUGAUGAGCGAUCUGCACAGAUCAUCCCUGCCAACGUUGGAAUCUGUCUCCUCAGACAUGUUGGACAUCGUAGUCGACGCCGUGAAGGAAAUAUGUUGGAACAAGAAAUCAAAGUUUCCACUGUGGCGACACAAAAAGGCCAAUGUCAGCGAGGAGCGAGUGGAUGCGGUGGCGGCGGAGACGAAAGUCGCCCUGCAGGAGAAACUGCGAGAGUUUCUCUGCCGCUACAAAGACGAGGCAAAGAAACAGGAACUGGAAAAGGUCCAGAAGACUGUGUCUGUACUUCUGUCCAACCUGAGAGACAAGACGGUAGAGUUUGAGGACUCCAAAGUGGUCCAGAGAGUCCAGACUGUAAGGAGUCUACUGGAUCAGAUCCAGGUCUGCAACAACUCAACUCGGAUCAGACUGGAGGAUCUGAUCAGUGAGGGCAAACUGUCCAACUUUUCCCUGAUGAGAUCCUCUGGUCCCGUCAGUCCUUCUGAGCAGGUUCUCUGGUUCUCUGAAGCCGUUGUGAAACAUCUGCUCAGGUCGCUCCUCCUCCCUCCUCCUUCCUGGGGGAUGGGUCAGGCCAUACGGGUUCAGAGCUGCCCGUCAUCCGCCGCCAGAUUUGCAGAGACGACCCCGCUGUACGAUGGCAUCAUCAGCCUGUACACUCAGGUGAUGUGCGAGCAGGUGAUGAGCAGCCUAAGCGGCUUGUCUGCCGCCUUCAGGCUGCAGCUGGAAGUGCAGAGGAUUCUGGACCAGCUGGAGAACGCUGACAUCUCAACACAGAAGAAGAACAUUGUCCAUUUCUUCCAGAAGCUUCCGAAUAAGAUCAUAAACAAAUGGAGGGAAGCAACAAACAAGGAGGACGUGUACUUCAGUCUGCCAGUGGAUGGCGAGGACGAGACCGCCGCCAGGUCUGAGGACGCUGAGGAUGAGGAGGGCGAUGUGGACGUCUCUGACCUUAGGAAGAGGAGCAUUCUGGACUUCCUCCUGACUCUUUCUGACGGGAUACUGACUAGUUUUUGGGGGUAUGAACCGACGGCGUGGCAGACUCAGUCCCUGCUCCCCAUUUAA
rnacentral:lncRNA from 1 species